UUUUGCAAGUUCUCCCACUUAGAAAUCAUGGAGGGGUCUGAAAUUGUCAUCGUAGGUGCAUGUCCACUGUGAGAGACAUAAUCUAAAAAAAAAAAAUCCAGAAAUCACAAUGUAUGAUUUUUUAACUAUUUAUUUGUAUGAUACAGCUGCAAAUAAGUAUUUGAACACCUGAGAAAAUCAAUGUUAAUAUUUGGUACAGUAGCAUUUGUUUGCAAUUACAGAGGUCAAACGUUUCCUGUAGUUUUUCACCAGGUUUGCACACACUGCAGGAGGGAUUUUGGCCCACUCCUCCACACAGAUCUUCUCUAGAUCAGUCAGGUUUCUGGCCUGUCGCUGAGAAACACGGAGUUUGAGCUCCCUCCAAAGAUUCUCUAUUGGAUUUAGGUCUGGAGACUGGCUAGGCCACGCCAGAACCUUGAUAUGCUUCUUACAGAGCCACUCCUUGGUUAUCCUGGCUGUGUGCUUCUGGUCAUUGUCAUGUUGGAAGACCCAGCCUCGACCCAUCUUCAAUGCUCUAACUGAGGGAAGGAGGUUGUUCCCCAAAAUCUCGCAAUACAUGGCCCCAGUCAUCCUCUCCUUAAUACAGUGCAGUCGCCCUGUCCCAUGUGCAGAAAAACACCCCCAAAGCAUGAUGCUACACAGCAAAAUCUCCAGUGUUGAAAUCCUAGUGUUAAGGACUUUUAGAGUAAAGUGUUAAAGUUGUGGUGUUGAACUUUAGGGGGUUAACACUAGCUAGUGUAAACAGCGCUCUCUGGCCGGUGUCAAUACGCAGAGAAACUCUUAUAACACUCUGUUGAGUGUUAUUAGUCACAUCCGGGACAUUUGCUCGUGUGCGCGCUUGACCCAUGUUCUUAGACUCGCGAUGCGGAGCUUAUGAGGACGCAAAACAGCGAAAUUAAGUGUUUAAUCUUACUCACAAUAUGUGUUUUGUAAUAUCAUAUCGUUUUAUAGCGAUAUUUAUAAGGUGUGUGCGCCUAAACGUUUUUUAAAGACAUUUCUUCCACUCGCGAGGCGGACCAGACGAGGAUGUUUCUUUUUAAAAGGGAAACGCCGAAAGUUAAGUGUUUUAUCUCAUUUAUAUGUAUUUCACAACAUCAUAUUGAUUUAUAGCGAUAUUUGUGUGAUGUGCACUCCUAAACUUUUUCUCAGAGCGAUAUUUUCCUUCACUCAUGAUGCGGAGAAGACGGGGAAAUUGGUUUUAUCAAGGAAAACACCAAAUAUGCAUUUGAAUGGCUAGGCAUUGACGCGGAAGUCACUUUUAACAGGGGAAACAUAAGAAAGAGACAUUUUCUUUCACUGGAGAUGCGGGGCAGACGGGGGAGUUGGUCUUCUCAAGGAAAACACUGAAUGGUUCAUGCUGGCUUAACAGAAAAAUCGAAAGGAGAUGAUGUGCUUUAAGAGCAUGAAGCCACCAAUACAUUAAGUGGGAUGAGAAGAGCUUUGUUAGGACACAUACCAGAGACAUGGCACUUUUGUGAUGCUGCAAGUGGGAGUUGGGUAUCUUGCCUGGCUGAAAACUGCAGAGAAACAUAUCUCGUCUUGCUGAAAACUAAAACUAAAAAUUGGUCUGCUUAUUCACGUCUGGUGUAUGAGAUUCGAGGCUAAACAUAAUUUUUUUUAAACAAUCGAUUAAAAAUUUAAAAAACCUUACAAAAAUAUUGGUUAAAAUGCAUCAAUCGCACAUGGCUUUGCAUGUUAAAUGAUUUACAAGGUGGUGCAAACAUUUUUCAGUGUUUGCACUGCAGGACCUAUUUUAUUAUCGACCAUUUGAUAAGCAGUAUUCUUACAAUUCUGAUGACCGAAAUGGAUGUAUUGUGCCUUCUUGUCACUUAUUCUAAAAGUGAACUGUCAUGUUGUGAAGUGUUGACAUGUUAAUAAAAAACUGCUUUGAGAGCUGCAGUGUAAUUGUGAUUAUUUUUUUUUUUUUAAGUAAAAUCUGCUUACCUGUGACCAAAUGUGCUUUUAAAAUAAUUAAUUUUAAAAGGUUUAACUUUUUUUUUUUUUUUACUUUCAACACAGAGGAGAGUUUUGUAAUGUUAACUCAAUACACUGGAGUUAAAAUAUCAAGAGUUAAAAUCUAUCUUAAAGGUGUUAAAUUGUAACUCUUUACACUGGUGUUAAGGAAAAAUCAACACUCUGUGGUGUGAACCAGAGUUGUUUUUUAACUCUAUACCGUGUAAAUAUGACUCAUUCAUAGAGUUAAACAAGUAACUCUAUGAAGAGUGUUAAUGUAACUCUGAAAAGAUUGGGACAAUAUGUACACUUUUUUGGAGUUGAUUUUAACUCUGUUAGAGUUGAAUUAACACUCAUAAUUUUGCUGUGUACCACCCCCAUGCUUCACAGUAGGGAUGGUGUUCUUGGGAUGGUACUCAUCAUUCUUCUUCCUCCAAACACGUUUAGUGGAAUUAUGACCAAAAAGUUCUAUUUUGGUCUCAUCUGACCACAUGUCUUUCUCCCAUGACUCCUCUGGAUCAUCCAAAUGGUCAUUGGCAAACUUAAGUCGGGCCUGGACAUGUGCUGGUUUAAGCAGGGGAACCUUCCGUGCCAUGCAUGAUUUCAAACCAUGACGUCUUGGUAUUACCAACAGUAACCUUGGAAACGGUGGUCCCAGCUCUUUUCAGGUCAUUGAUCAGCUCCUCCCGUGUAGUUCUGGGCUGAUUUCUCACCUUUCUUAGGAUCAUUGAGACCCCACGAGGUGAGAUCUUGCAUGGAGCCCCAGUCCGAGGGAGAUUGACAGUCAUGUUUAGCUUCUUCCAUUUUCUAAUGAUUGCUCCAACAGUGGACCUUUUUCACCAAGCUGCUUGGCAAUUUCCCCGUAGCCCUUUCCAGCCUUGUGGAGGUGUACAAUUUUGUCUCUAGUGCCUCUGGACAGCUCUUUGGUCUUGGCCAUGUUAGUAGUUGGAUUCUUACUGAUUGUAUGGGGUGGACAGGUGUCUUUAUGCAGCUAACGACCUCAAACAGGUGCAUCUAAUUUAGGAUAAUAAAUGGAGUGGAGCUGGACAUUUUAAAGGCAGACUAACAGG